rnacentral:lncRNA from 1 species
GGCAGGUUCAUUACCUUACAGUGAUAGGGCCCUGUAGGGUUUCUCUUAAUGAUGCAUAAGGGGGAGCAGGAGCCACAGCAUACAUAUUUGUAGAGGCUCGGACUCUGCAAGGCAAAUGGGGGUAAGAACAGCCAAAUGGAUCUUUCUGUGCUAAGUCAGCAACAGUUAUGCAGUAACACAGUGAUUUUAUUUAUUUUUUGUUUGUUUUGAAUGAUAAGUCCAAGGAAAGGAUGAGUUAGCUGAUAGCUCAGAGAUAUCACAUAACUAAGACAAUGGUUUCCAACUUUCCUGAAUGUUAAAUGGAGGGAAAACAGCUGAACUUGCCUCUGCUAUGCCUUGCUCUGACAUGCUGAAAUGGCAUAUCUGUCUUGCUUAGGAGUGAAGCUCAUUAAAGUUGUUCUUGCAAAAGGCUUUACCCAGUGUAAUUUAAACAAGUGGGGCAGUAAGUAAGGCUAAAGCUUGCUCUCUUUUUAGGUUCAAUUUUUAACAGAAUUCAGUUUCUGUUUCUUUUAAGUAUGUGACAUCCCAACAGCUGCCAUUAAGGCUUCAGCUCUGUCUCCUGCACCCUACCUUUACUUUCUGUUUAGGCUUUUGACCCAGCUCAAGAUUCAACUCUUACUUUUUUUGUCAAAUGCUAUAUUUUCUUCUUGCUUUCUCUUGCUCUGGUGCCUCUGGACAGUAGUAUAAUUCUGACACCAAUAGUUGUUAUAAAUAAUAUAGUUCCUGCUCUGGGGAAAGAAAACUGGACUAAGGGAGGCAUUAAGCACCGAAAAUAACAGGAAUGCAGCAGAUCUGUCACGCAAGACUGCCAUCCCUAGCUGUUAAUGGGCACAGAAGUUCAACUUGAUAUGUGUCUACUCAGAGCACUGCCUGAUUCUAUCUUCACAUAGCAGUUAUUACCCUCGGGGACAAAUUAUGUCUUGCAUUGUGCACUCUCAUCCCUUCACCGAAGACUUGACAGUCCAUCCACCUAGGAAAAAACAUAUACUGCACUUAGUUUCACAGAUAAAGCAGUCCAGAAGAAACUGCAUGGAUCUUCAUCCUAAUUCAAAGUUUAAAGGAAAAGUCCAGGCUAAAGUGAAACUGAACUUGAACCAAAUCCCACUGCAUUCAGUGAACAGAGUCCUGCUGAUUUCAGAAGAUGCUGAGCUGUGGCUCUGAAGUCUCGUGGUCACCAUACCCAGCUUUGCACCUCAAGCUACAACACUGACUUCAGGUUGCUGAAUCCAGACUGGAUGCACAGAGAAUAUGCUUCAAAGCCACUGUGGCAACAGAGCAAUGGAACAAUGACACCUCAAAACACAGGCAUACAACAGACAAAACAAGAUCUUUGUCCUUUAACAAGAACAAAUCAACAGAAAUUUCUCAAAAUAAAUUUGUGACUAUAUGUAAAGCUUCA